UACGUAGGGUCCGAGCGUUGUCCGGAAUUACUGGGCGUAAAGCGCGCGCAGGCGGCCCGCGAGGUGUCACGUGAAAGCCCCGGGCUCAACCCGGGAGGGUCGUGGCAAACCGGCGGGCUUGAGGCCGGUAGAGGUGGGUGGAACUCCUGGUGGAGUGGUGAAAUGCGUAGAGAUCAGGAAGAACACCCGUGGCGAAGGCGGCCCACUGGGCCGGUACUGACGCUGAGGCGCGAAAGCUAGGGGAGCAAACAGG
rnacentral:rRNA from 1 species